AGGUCACUUAAGAAGCUAACAGGUUAGCACUCCCCUUGAUAAGGAUGGAAGAGGCCCUUGUGGCCUAUACAACACGUGUAUGGUUAAGGCACUGUCACCUACUUCAUGGCAUCUAACCAUUCUACUAU
rnacentral:ncRNA from 1 species